rnacentral:rRNA from 1 species
AUGGACAUAUCACGAUGAAACACCGGUUCCCGUACGAUCACCGAAGUUAAGCAAUGUCGAGCUUGGUCAGUACCUAGAGUGACUGCUUGGGAAUACCAGGUGCUGUAA